GGCCACAACUUUUGAAAUAUAUAGCAAUAUCAAGUCUAUUCUUACUAUUUCAUCCUUACUUGAUUUUCAGUCCAUCUCUACUUCUCUUUUCUUUUAUAUAUAUUAAAUCACUCCUUCAUACUAAAGCAUCCCUCGACUUACAUUGUACAUAUCCAAACAAUUGUCCUUAUUUCAAUUUGUUCUAAAUUGAUGUUACCUCUAUCUUUCUACGAAUAACUUUAUUCAUCCUAUCUUUUUCUUGUAUUGCCAUACAUCUAUCUCAACAUUCUCAUUUUAGCCAUAUUUAUCAUGUGCACAUGCAUGUUGUUUCUAACUCCCAAUAAUAUGUACUAUAAAGCAUUGUUGGUUGUAUGGCUAUUCCAUAAUUUUUUUUGGCAACUUGGCAGCUAUC
rnacentral:lncRNA from 1 species